GUGUCUGGCUCUCUGCUUCACAGCUGUAGGUGUGCCAACAGCUGGGAGCUCUAGGGGUUUCUGGGGGCUGCUGCUGGACAGGCUGCAGGUCUGGUGCCAACAGUGGGUGUGGUCUGUGAGGCUGAAUUGUACCAGCAGGAGGGGAGGAGCAGGAUCAGGCCACCCGGGCUGUUCAUCUGAGUGUUGUGGGAACGGCACCACCUAGUGCUGCUUGCCUGCUGCAGCUCGCGAGGGUUCGUGCUGACAGCAGCUGGGCUAGGGCAGACCAGCACGGGCACAAGGUAGGCCUGCUCUCUGCAUAAGUAUCUCCUCAGCAAGUUCUGAUCACAGCCUCUGAAGAGGGCCCACCAGCAGUCGGGCUGCUGCGGCUCCUGUGUUCCCAGGGUGUCACACAGGUGGAGGAGGAAGGAUGAGAGCUCACCCCUUCAGCUGGUGGCUGUUCUGCUCAUAAGUGUAAUCUUAGAUGUGGAUUUAUUGAAGGCGUGGUCACGGGUGACCCACAGGGAAAAUGGUAAACAGGGACAACACCACCACUUGUCUCACAUUGAUGCCAACUGUCUUUAUGCUGAAUUGAUGAAACAGCUGAAAGAAGAGCAUCUAAUUGAGCCCUGAGUGCAGCUGCCAGAUUGCUCACCACGGCUGUUUCCAGCAUAAUUGAUAUAGGCAAUCAUUGUUUAAUGAACUUCACGUACGAAUUUCAGUGGAUGAAAACUCUCGAUAUGGAAGCACAGGAGGCAGACAGGAGGGCGCUUGCUUUCAUCUGGCGAGGGCUCCGGCGUGUAUUUACUCGUGUCUCACAAGGCUUAUCCCAACCUACCUCUCUGUCCACGCUGCGUCGGCCGAAGAGCUGGAAACAUUAAUAUUACCACCAGAGGUCACUGUGGGGCAACGCAUCAGUGGUGCCUUCAGAGGCGGCCGAUAGGCAGAACGUGUGAACCGGGCUGUGAGCACUUGUCAUUACACUCCUGCGGUUCGGUAAAACCGGUAAGAAACAAAACAAAACCACCAAAACCAAACAACCGAGGAUUCAGUGAGGAAUUAAUCUUCUGGGGAGACAGUGGCAGGUGGGAGAAGAACUGUCCCUGCUGAGGUACUACCCGAUGGUUACACGUGCUUCAGAAUAAGAGGAGCUAUGCACUGUGCUGGAGACUUUAGGAUCUUGGAGAGUAUCUGUUCCAGGAAUUAUUAUAAUAGGUUGGCCAUCCUAUAACUUACUAUAGAAAACAAGAGCCUGAAUCCUGCAGCAUCACUGGGAGAAAUCAAUGAGUGAUAGAAGCAUGUGGUUCCCUGCUGCAGUAUACAGUGGUGUCCAUCUUCCCUCCUCUAGGGAGGCUUGCACCUUGCUCAGCCUGGGGUGCUAUGAAGAGUCUGUUCAGGCUUCUCUGACCCUUGAUCUAUUACUCUGUACAGUAUAUAUGUCCUGUGCACAUAUGUUUGUGAGGGGGGCCUCUACUAGGAAUACAAUGUCCUGGCUGGAACAGGGAACACAGAGAUGUGGCAGUGUUGCCUCCAUCAGACAACUGACUUCAGCACCAUGACAAUUUGGACUGCAGGGUGGCAGAACCCCAAGGUACAAAACAUGACCGGGUGGAGGCAGCUGCCUUUGAGUCAGUGCAGCACAAGUCUGCAGGAGAAAGCCCACCCAGCAGCAACAGACUUGAUCUUCUGAAAGGUACGCAGGUGGAGCAUCCAUUUCUCAUGAGGAAGAAAUACUGAAUAAAGAACUAGAGCUCCAGCAGUGAAGAAUAGCGAAACACGCUGCCUUUACAGUCUGCAGCAAGUUAUGCCACUGUAGAAAUUAAACCAAGACACGUUGUUGAUUUCUGAAGUGCCAAAAGAAGGACAAGGUCAGAGCUGGUCUCUGAAUACAUCAUCCCAAUGGCAUUUCAAUGGAAAUGCAAAUUUAGGAAUUUGGGAUUAGGAACAAAUAAUUUCAGAAAAUAGACACAGACCCAGAAGAAUUAAAGGAAAGGAGUUGGGCAGAUCCCGUAUGUUGUAGACCAAUACACAGAUCAGCAAGCACACACAGAGAAAGAAGAAUAUUACCUGUCAGUGGAAGGUGAGAAAACAAACAUGGGAGGAUGAUAUUUGCCAAGAAGGUAGAUCUUGUGAUAGUCCACAGAAUCAGAACUCAGUGGCUCUGGAGGCCUUAAAUGCUGACACCAAGAAAUGCCCCCCUGUUUAUCCCACUGAACAUUGAAGAAUAAUUUUGCCACUCAGCUGGUAAGUUUUAAAGACAAACUGAAGAACUGCCUUAUACACUGCUCGCAAGCUGGUGCUUCUGCAAAACUGCCUGCUUUGUUUCAGUCAGAGCAAUCCAUAGCCCUCAGUGCUAUCCCAGUGACAGCUUAAUGCCUAGAGUGUCACUCCUGCAAAUGACCUCUCCCCCUUACGAUGAGUAGCUGAGAUGUCAGUGCUAAGAGCCAGUGGUACUGUAACCCUAUUACUUGGUCCUCAGAGCCACAUUUGAUUGUGUUCUUUGGCAGCAACAGGAAAUAAAUGCACUCAUUUC
rnacentral:lncRNA from 7 species